UAAGCAUAUCACUGAGCGCAGGAGAAGAAACUAACCAGGAUUUCCCUAGUAACGGCGAGCGAACCGGAAAGAGCCCAGCUUGAAAAUCGUGGCGCCCCGGCGCCUCGAAUUGUAGUCUGGAGAAGGUCCCUCUGCGGCGCGCCGGACCCAAGUUCCCUGGAAAGGGACGCCAUCGAGGGUGAGAGCCCCGCUGAUUCCGGAGUGCGCCGCUCCACGAGGACCUGUCUGCGAGUCGGGCUGUUUGGGAAUGCAGCCCUAAGCGGGUGGUAAAUUCCAUCCAAGGCUAAAUAUUGGCAAGAGACCGAUAGCGAACAAGUACCGCGAGGGAAAGAUGAAAAGGACUUUGAAAAGAGAGUUAAAAAGUGCUUGAAAUUGCUGGGAGGGAAGCGAAUGGAAGCUGCGGGUGCGCCCCGGUUGGAUGUGGAACGGCUGUCAAAGGCUGGUCCGCCGCUCAACGCGGGGCGCUGGUCAGCGUGGGCCAUCGCGGCGGGACAAGAGCGGGGAUUCGCUUCCCGCCGAUGCCGCUGCGGUGGCCGAGGAACGAAGCGCGCGCUCUUCAUGGGCGUGGGACUCGUCCCAACUGCGCGCUCGGGACGCUGGCGUAUUGAGCUCUUCAUCCGACCCGUCUUGAAACACGGACCAAGGAGUCUAACAUGUAUGCGAGCCGGUGGGCGGCAAACCCAUUGAGGCGCAAGUAACCUGACAGGUGGGACCCCGACCGCAAGGGAGGGAGCACCAUCGACCGACCGUGAUCUUCUGUGAAGGGUUCGAGUGGUGAGCA
rnacentral:rRNA from 1 species